AGGAGUAUAAGUUCCCAACUCUCCGCUGCCAGACUCACUUUCUAAGCCGACCAGCAGCUCCACAUCUCAUUUUUCACUUCAUUGUCUGUGGUGCCUAAACUUCUCAAAAUGAGCUACAGAAGAUCCAACAUGCAGCCGAUGUCUUCAUCCCACAUCUCCAUGAGCCGCUCUACACCCCAGUAUUCUGCCAGCAUUUAUGGCGGUGCUGGUGGGAAGGGGGCCCGCAUAUCUUCAUCCUCCACAUCUUCCCUGCGGUCUGGGGCCCCAAUGACCUCUUCUUCCUCUGCCUUCAAGCUGAGCAGUGCAAUGGGGGGUGGUAUGGGCUCAGGUUUUGGUGGUGCCGGUUCUUCCACAGCGUCUGGUGGUGGUGCCGGUUCUGGCAUCAUGGGCAAUGAGAAGGGAGCCAUGCAGAACCUCAAUGACCGCCUGGCCAACUACCUAGAGACGGUGAGGAACCUGGAACAGGCCAACAAGGAGCUGGAGGUGAAGAUCAUGGAGGCUCUUGAGAAGGGAGGGCCCAGCAUGAAAGACUACAGCAAGUAUGAACCCAUCAUUGAAGACCUACGCAGAAAGAUCUUCGAAGAGAUUUUGGACAAUGCUCGUUAUGUACUCCAGAUCGACAAUGCCCGUCUUGCUGCUGACGACUUCAAAGUGAAAUUUGACAAUGAGAUGGCAAUCCGCCAGUCUGUGGAGGCCGACAUCGCUGGGCUGAAGAGAGUCAUAGAUGACACUAACAUGACCAGAAUGAACAUCGAGAGCGAGAUUGAAAAUGUUAGGGAUGAGCUUGCCUUCCUGAAGAAGAACCAUGAGGAGGAGGUGAUGGAGAUAAGGAAUCAGAUCUCAAAUUCAGCAGUGCAAGUGGAUGUUGACGCUCCUAAAGGUCAGGACCUGGCUCAGAUAAUGCAAGAUGUGAGGAGCAAUUAUGAGAAGCUUGCAGUGAAGAAUGCGCAAGACCUCAAACAGUGGCAUGAAAAUCAGAUUUCAGAUGUGCAGGUGGAGGUAUCGCAGAACACAGAAGCUCUCCAGGGAGCCCAAAUGGAGAGGGGCGACUUAUCCAGACAGAUACAGACCCUGGAAAUUGAACUUGCAUCCCAACAGAGCUUAAGAGCAUCCCUUGAAGACACAUUACGUAAUACAGAGCAAAGAAACAAUAUGGAAAUGGAGAAGUACAACAACCUUCUUAUCCGUCUGGAGGAGGAGCUGACCCACCUGCGUGCAAACAUCCAGAAUCAGACCCAAGAGUAUGAGACGCUGCUCAGCAUGAAGAUGAAAUUGGAGGCCGAGAUUGGCACUUACAGGAGUCUGCUGGAUGGUGGAGACUUCAAGUAAGAGAGUUAGGUGGAGGAGAAAAAUCAGAUCCAAGCAAGGUGUUGAUGGUGGUGGAGGCUCCAGGAUGCAAUAGAUGAGCUGGCGGCGCUGAACUAAUUUGGAACCAAGAAUCCGGGACCAGCCCAACAAUUAAAGCAGAACAACCCUCAACUAUCAAUGAUGGGAAAAAAACACGCUGGUCCAAACAAACAAAGUCUAAUUUGAACACAGACUACAUUCCAUGUGAACAAUAAAUGAUUUAGGCAAUUACCAAUGAAGGCAUUCAAUACAAGGCGGGGCUUUUUAAAAAACAACUAGUGCCUGACCUAAAGCAAAAUGAAAAUGAAUAAAACCACUUGUUGACCCACA